GCAUUGUGUGGCUCUCAGGAUCAGUUAGAUGAGACCAGAGUUUGUCUGUCCUGGUUUCUAGAACUGAAAUUUUGUAGGGAUCAAAUUGGUUCCUCACUUAGCAAUUAAAGUCUAUAACCAUCCUUAGACCUUAAUAUUUUUUAAUAUCAUAAGCUUUUCAGAUGGGUGGUGUUUUGACAUUUCUUAACUCCCAAAUACAACAACAACU
rnacentral:misc_RNA from 1 species